rnacentral:rRNA from 1 species
UCAGGAUGAACGCUAGCUACAGGCUUAACACAUGCAAGUCGAGGGGAAACGACAUCGAAAGCUUGCUUUUGAUGGGCGUCGACCGGCGCACGGGUGAGUAACGCGUAUCCAACCUGCCCACCACUUGGGGAUAACCUUGCGAAAGUAAGACUAAUACCCAAUGAUAUCUCAAGAAGCCAUCUGAAUGAGAUUAAAGAUUUAUCGGUGAUGGAUGGGGAUGCGUCUGAUUAGCUUGUUGGCGGGGUAACGGCCCACCAAGGCGACGAUCAGUAGGGGUUCUGAGAGGAAGGUCCCCCACAUUGGAACUGAGACACGGUCCAAACUCCUACGGGAGGCAGCAGUGAGGAAUAUUGGUCAAUGGGCGAGAGCCUGAACCAGCCAAGUAGCGUGCAGGAUGACGGCCCUAUGGGUUGUAAACUGCCUUUAUAAGGGAAUAAAGUGAGUCUCGUGAGACUUUUUGCAUGUACCUUAUGAAUAAGGACCGGCUAAUUCCGUGCCAGCAGCCGCGGUAAUACGGAAGGUCCGGGCGUUAUCCGGAUUUAUUGGGUUUAAAGGGAGCGUAGGCCGGAGAUUAAGCGUGUUGUGAAAUGUAGACGCUCAACGUCUGCACUGCAGCGCGAACUGGUUUCCUUGAGUACGCACAAAGUGGGCGGAAUUCGUGGUGUAGCGGUGAAAUGCUUAGAUAUCACGAAGAACUCCGAUUGCGAAGGCAGCUCACUGGAGCGCAACUGACGCUGAAGCUCGAAAGUGCGGGUAUCGAACAGGAUUAGAUACCCUGGUAGUCCGCACGGUAAACGAUGGAUGCCCGCUGUUGGUCUGAAUAGGUCAGCGGCCAAGCGAAAGCAUUAAGCAUCCCACCUGGGGAGUACGCCGGCAACGGUGAAACUCAAAGGAAUUGACGGAAGG